rnacentral:ncRNA from 1 species
AAGGUGUAUUACAACUUUUGAGAUAAUGAUUGCAGGGCGUCCCGCUUGGUAACGAGCUGGAUUAUAACUGGGUGAAUUGCUGGAACCUCCUUAAGCUUUCUUCCCCACAACGCAGCUGGAAACGGCAGACGUGAAGGGCUGAAAAGAAGAAAGAUUGGAUAAUCAGCAGCCAAGCUCCUGUGAGGAAACUCUGGAGAAGGUUCAACGACUAGGAUAUACCGUCUAAAGUGAAAACCAUGACGAUGAAAUCCGUAGGGUGGUAACAGCCAUUCGAAGUGCCCAGCUCCUUAGACUUUUAAGGAUGAAGAUAUAGUCUAUUCCAUCGCUGAAAAGCAUGG